GCCCUGCCUGGCCCCCCUCCCCCCCCUGCAGGUCACUUACCUCGGCCAUCUCCUCUGGGGCAUGGGCUCACGUCCUCUCUGCCGCUCUCUUCUCAGGAUACUGCUGCAGUACAUGGAUCCGUCCAGCAGGUGGCGUCUGGUCCUCAGCUGAUGUCUUCAGUGGAUGCUGGAACUGCAGUUUCAUUGCCUCAGCCUUCUGUGAGCGCAGUGCCGGGCUUGGAUCGCCAGUCUGCGACCGGUGAGUACCUUAUUCCUUCCGUUUCUGG